ensembl:snoRNA SNORA71 Small nucleolar RNA SNORA71
CCCUGCAUUCAAAAGUGAUCAUGGGCUGCCCCUGACCAGGUCAUUGAUAGUGCAGGGAAAGGAUGCAGAAAGCCUUUCCCUGGUGUUUGGAAGGUCACUCCUGUCAUUGCCAGACCCUGGUGCUUUCCUAUA